GAUUUUCAAAUUAUUUGAUAAAUAGAUUAAAUUCUGAAAUAUGUUUUGUAUUUAGUAAAAUGGGUCUGACAUGUUAAAUUUCAUUUGAAAAUUAUGCUCUGAAAUCCGUAAACUAUGACUGGAAAAUUUGUGAAAUAUGUUUUUAUAUAUAUGUAUUCUCAGCAUGGCUAUGAUCUGUUCUGGCCCCAGCCAAUGGGGAUUAUACGUUGGACCUGUCGACUUGUAAUCUGUGAGGAACCGGUUUCGACACCGCGCCACCGGUGAUUAGAAUAGUGGUUUCUGGACACCGUUUCCACCGGUGACUAACAAUAGUAGUUUCUGGCACUCUGUGCAACCCAUGCCACUGGGUUACGUGGUCGUAGCCUAUUAUGUUGAGAUUCUAGUAUCAGAGUUUUUGAAAAAAUGAUAAUAAGUUUUGAAAACAACAAAACGAUGUUAUUUAUGAUUUAUUCCAGACAUUAUCCUGUAUUUUGAUCUCAUAUGCUCUGACCCCACUUUGGGGUAUUUUGUUGCUUACUGGGCUAGUGUAGCUCAUUAUUCUAUUUUCUCCAUUUUUCAGAUCCAGAGGCUUGAUCUCACGGGAUUGAGGAGUGCGUUAGAUUUUCCGACGAUUCCUUCAGUUAUUGGCAUUUUAGUUAGAUUAGUUUGGACAUUUAAAUUAUGUUGGCAUAUGCUAUUUUGCAAUUUUGUAAGAUUGCUUUUGAAUAAAUUUAAAUAAUUAUUGCUUUGAUAUGAUCCGAUGCCUUGCAUGCCUGUGCGGCCCGCCGUGCGGGCGUGUGGCGUCUGUCGCGCCUCGGGCUCGGGGCGUGACAAACAACCCAGGAUGUCACACAAAAAAGGU
rnacentral:lncRNA from 1 species